CUCUAGUGGUUUUUAUUUUGGUGGGGGAUGGGGGAGGGGGGAGAGAUGAGCUGCUUUUUUGUGCAUAGUGAAAAAUGGCAGAAAUUGCUUGGAGUGGGUUGGGAUAAGAGGCCUCAAGAUGGGAUAGCAUGAGGAUAAAACAUUUAGGUGGAGGUAUGCACUGCUUGGGAAAACGAGGUGUGGCAAGAUCAAAGGAAGGGAGAGGAAGAAAUAAACGUGUUAUUUUAAAAUUGAAACGUAUGCCGUAUAGAUUCCAUGCAUACUCUCUUGCAGUUU